CGCCUUAUUCUCCAACACAACUUCUCAGUCACCAUAAUUCUCCCGACGGAUGGACCUCUCUCUAAGGCACAAACCACCUUUCUUGCUGCUCUUCCUGCUGCCAUCGAUUAUAUUCUUCUUCCUCCUGUUAACUUCGACGACUUAGCUGACGACGUUAGGAUUGAGACGCGUAUUUCCCUCACCGUCACUCGCUCUCUUCCUUCCCUUCGUGUUGCGCUCAAGUCUUUGGUUGACACCACCAAGUUGCCCGCUCUCGUGGUCGAUCUUUUCGGCACGGAUGCCUUUGAUGUAGCCAAUGAAUUCAAGCUCCCGCCAUAUAUCUUCUUCCCUUCCACCGCCACGGCUUUAGCGUUUUUCUCCUACCUGCCUAAGCUUCAUGAGAUGGUUGCAUGUGAAUUUAGAGACUUGCCCGGGCCAAUUCGAGUCCCGGGUUGUGUACCAAUUCACGGGAGGGAUCUCCUCGACCCGGCUCAGGACCGAAAGAACGACGCCUACAAGUGGCUGCUUCACCACGCGAGGAGGUACAGCCUGGCCGAGGGAAUCCUGGUGAACAGCUUCAAGGACUUGGAGCCUGGACCUUUAAAAGCGUUGCAGGAGCAAGAACCGGGUAAGCCACCGGUUUAUCCGGUUGGACCACUUAUACAGAUGGGCUCAGGGGACAGGAGGGGGGAGGAGUCGGAAUGCUUGAAAUGGUUGGAUGAUCAGCCCAGCGGGUCCGUUCUGUACAUUUCGUUUGGGAGCGGCGGGACCCUCUCCCAUAAUCAGCUAAUCGAGCUAGCAUUUGGAUUGGAGAUGAGCGAGCAAAGAUUCUUGUGG
rnacentral:lncRNA from 1 species